GCUUAAUUGACAGCAACGUCCCAAUCUUGAUGCCUGUUAGGGUGCGGGGCGACUACUUAGCAGGCUGGCGCAUCGAGUCGGGUAUCCGGGCAAGAUCGUAAGAAUCCACAGGAUAAUCGGAAAGAUGAACGGGCUGAGCGAGGCUCAUCAUUCUUAAAGCAGAAGACGCCUGGCUAAACAUGUAGACGCUUUUGUAGAAGCUAUCUAGGACAGGGGUUCGACUCCCCUCGCCUCCACCA
rnacentral:tmRNA from 1 species